AACGCCGCGGUCAGGCCGCGGGACCCGGCGCGGAGUCGCGCAGGCUGGGGCUCGGGCUUCCCGACCGCUACCGCUUCUUCCGGCAGUCGGUGGCCGGGCUGGCGGCGCGG
rnacentral:miRNA from 1 species